rnacentral:rRNA from 1 species
CGGCCGCGUCGACGGGGAUAACUACUCGAAAGAGUAGCUAAUACCGCAUGAGAUCUACGGAUGAAAGCAGGGGUGCGUAACGCGUGGGAACCUGCCUUUUGGUUCGGAAUAACAGUGAGAAAUUACUGCUAAUACCGGAUAAUGUCUUCGGACCAAAGAUUUAUCGCCAUUAGAUGGGCCCGCGUAAGAUUAGCUAGUUGGUGGGGUAAAGGCCUACCAAGGCGACGAUCUUUAGCUGGUCUGAGAGGAUGAUCAGCCACACUGGGACUGAGACACGGCCCAGACUCCUACGGGAGGCAGCAGUGGGGAAUAUUGGACAAUGGGCGAAAGCCUGAUCCAGCAAUGCCGCGUGAGUGAUGAAGGCCUUAGGGUUGUAAAGCUCUUUUACU